rnacentral:sRNA from 1 species
UGAAAAUUGUGAAAUAAGGUUCUAGCCUGAAAGGAAAGUAACAUCCAUGUAUUUCAUACCAUUAUUUUUUCAUGGGCCUUUAAAUGUUCUUUAGACGUGUGUGUGUGUGUGUGUGUGUGUGUGUGUGUGUGUUUUAGCUUAUUCAG